rnacentral:rRNA from 1 species
AGUGAACGCUGGCGGUAGGCCUAACACAUGCAAGUCGAACGGCAGCACAGUAAGAGCUUGCUCUUACGGGUGGCGAGUGGCGGACGGGUGAGGAAUACAUCGGAAUCUACUUUUUCGUGGGGGAUAACGUAGGGAAACUUAUGCUAAUACCGCAUACGACCUACGGGUGAAAGCAGGGGAUCUUCGGACCUUGCGCGAUUGAAUGAGCCGAUGUCGGAUUAGCUAGUUGGCGGGGUAAAGGCCCACCAAGGCGACGAUCCGUAGCUGGUCUGAGAGGAUGAUCAGACACACUGGAACUGAGACACGGUCCAGACUCCUACGGGAGGAAGCAGUGGGGAAUAUUGGACAAUGGGCGCAAGCCUGAUCCAGCCAUACCGCGUGGGUGAAGAAGGCCUUCGGGUUGUAAAGCCCUUUUGUUGGGAAAGAAAAGCAGCAGGUUAAUACCCCGCUGUUCUGACGGUACCCAAAGAAUAAGCACCGGCUAACUUCGUG